rnacentral:rRNA from 1 species
AGAGUUUGAUCAUGGCUCAGAAUCAACGCUGGCGGCGUGCCUAACACAUGCAAGUCGAACGCGAAAGGGGGCAACCCCCGGUAGCGUGGCAGACGGGUGAGUAACACGUGGGUAACCUACCCGGAGGUGGGGGAUAACCCUUCGAAAGGAGGGCUAAUACCGCAUGACAUCGCGGGGACCUCGGUCCUUGCGAUCAAAGCUGGCCUCUGUUUACAAGCUAGCGCCACCGGAUGGGCCCGCGCCCCAUUAGCUAGUUGGUGAGGUAACGGCUCACCAAGGCGACGAUGGGUAGCCGGCCUGAGAGGGCGAUCGGCCACACUGGAACUGCGACACGGUCCAGACUCCUACGGGAGGCAGCAGUGAGGAAUCUUGCGCAAUGGGCGAAAGCCUGACGCAGCGACGCCGCGUGGAGGAUGAAGGUCUUCGGAUUGUAAACUCCUGUCGAGUGGGACGAAUGCCGUGAGGGUUAAUAGCCUUCGCGGUGACGGUACCGCUGA